UGCCCAACUGCGCGCUAACCUA
rnacentral:siRNA from 1 species